GACGAACGCUGGCGGCGUGCCUAAUACAUGCAAGUAGAACGCAGUUGCGAACGGGUGAGUAACGCGUAGGUAACUGCCUCAUAGCGGGGGAUAACUAUUUGAAACCAUAGAUAAUACCGCAUUCUGUUAGCUGGACCUGCGUUGUAUUAGGUUGUUGGUGAGGUAAAGGCCGACCAAGGCGACGAUCCAUAGCCGACCUGGGAGGGUGAACGGGCAAACUGGGACUGAGGCACGGCCCAGACUCCUACGGGAGGCAGCAAGAGGGGAUCUUCGGCAAUGGGUGGAAGUCUGACCGAGCAACGCCGGGGGGGUGAAGGAGGUUUUCGGAUCGGAAAGCUCUGUUGUGAGGGGAGCGGUAACUAACCAGAAAGGAACGGCUAACUACGUGCCAGCAGCCGCGGUAAUUC
rnacentral:rRNA from 1 species